GACACUAGCUCAGUUGGUAGAGCGCAACCUUGCCAAGGUUGAGGUCACGAGUUCGAACCUCGUGUGUC
rnacentral:tRNA from 3 species